rnacentral:rRNA from 1 species
GACGAACGCUGGCGGCGUGCUUAACACAUGCAAGUCGAACGGAAAGGCCCCUUUGGGGGUACUCGAGUGGCGAACGGGUGAGUAACACGUGAGUAACCUGCCCUUGACUUCGGGAUAACUUCAGGAAACUGGGGCUAAUACCGGAUAGGAAUCCUUGCUGCAUGGUGGGGGUUGGAAAGCUUCGGCGGUUUUGGAUGGACUCGCGGCUUAUCAGCUUGUUGGUGGGGUAGUGGCUUACCAAGGCUUUGACGGGUAGCCGGCCUGAGAGGGCGACCGGCCACAUUGGGACUGAGAUACGGCCCAGACUCCUACGGGAGGCAGCAGUGGGGAAUAUUGCACAAUGGGCGGAAGCCUGAUGCAGCAACGCCGCGGGCGGGAUGACGGCCUUCGGGUUGUAAACCGCUUUCAGCAGGGGCGAAGCUUGUGGUGACGGUACCUGCAGAAGAAGUACCGGCUAACUACGUG